rnacentral:rRNA from 1 species
UACGGAGGGUGCAAGCGUUAUCCGGAUUCACUGGGUUUAAAGGGUGCGUAGGCGGGCAGGUAAGUCCGUGGUGAAAUCUCUGAGCUUAACUCAGAAACUGCCAUGGAUACUAUUUGUCUUGAAUAUUGUGGAGGUAAGCGGAAUAUGUCAUGUAGCGGUGAAAUUGCUUAGAUAUGACAUAGAACACCAAUUGCGAAGGCAGCUUACUACACAGUUAUUGACGCUGAGGCACGAAAGCGUGGGGAUCAAACAGG